rnacentral:rRNA from 1 species
ACUCCUACGGGAGGCAGCAGUGGGGAAUAUUGCACAAUGGGGGAAACCCUGAUGCAGCCAUGCCGCGUGUGUGAAGAAGGCCUUGGGUUGUAAAGCACUUUCAGUAGGGAGGAAGGUAGUGUAGUUAACACCUGCAUUAUUUGUACGUUACCUACAGAAGAAGCACCGGCUAACUCCGUGCCAGCAGCCGCGGUAAGUACGGAGGGUGCGAGCGUUAAUCGGAAUUACUGGGCGUAAAGCGCAUGCAGGCGGCCUGUUAAGUCAGAUGUGAAAGCCCGGGGUCUUAACCUCGGAAUUGCAUUUGAAACUGGCAGGCUAGAGUCUUGUAGAGGGGUUAGGAAUUUCAGGUGUAGCGGUGAAAUGCGUAGAGAUCUGAAGGAAUACCGAGU